GACGAACGCUGGCGGCGGGCUUAACACAUGCAGGUCGAACGGAAAGGCCCUGCUUUUGUGGGGUGCUCGAGUGGCGAACGGGUGAGUAACACGUGAGUAACCUGCCCUUGACUUUGGGAUAACUUCAGGAAACUGGGGCUAAUACCGGAUAGGAGCUCCUGCUGCAUGGUGGGGGUUGGAUAGUUUCGGCGGGUGGGGAUGGACUCGCGGCUUAUCAGCUUGUUGGUGGGGUAGUGGCUUACCAAGGCUUUGACGGGUAGCCGGCCUGAGAGGGUGACCGGCCACAUUGGGACUGAGAUACGGCCCAGACUCCUACGGGAGGCAGCAGUGGGGAAUAUUGCACAAUGGGAGGAAGCCUGAUGCAGCAACGCCGCGUGCGGGAUGACGGCCUUCGGGUUGUAAACCGCUUUCGCCUGUGACGAAGCGUGAGUGACGGUAAUGGGUAAAGAAGCACCGGCUAACUACGUG
rnacentral:rRNA from 1 species